rnacentral:rRNA from 1 species
AAACUGGGAUUAGAUACCCCACUAUGCCUAGCCCUAAACAUUGAUAGAAUUUUACAACCUCUAUCCGCCCGGGGACUACAAGCAUCAGCUUGAAACCCAAAGGACUUGGCGGUGCUUUAGAUCCACCUAGAGGAGCCUGUUCUAGAACCGAUAACCCCCGUUCAACCUCACCCCUCUUUGUUAAUACCGCCUAUAUACCACCGUCGUCAGCUUACCCUGUGAGGGACCAAUAGUAAGCUUAACUGGUACAACCCCAAACGUCAGGUCGAGGUGUAGCGUAUGGAGGGGGAAGAAAUGGGCUACAUUCGCUACAACAGCGAACACGAAUGAUGUCCUGAAACGUACAUCUGAAGGAGGAUUUAGCAGUAAGUAGAAAAUAGAGUGUUCUACUGAAAUUGGCCCUGAAGCGCGCACACACCGCC